rnacentral:tRNA from 1 species
GUAAAAAUGGCUGAGCAUAAGCAUUGAACUGUAAAUUCAAAGACAGAGACUGCAUAUCUCUUUUUACC